rnacentral:lncRNA from 1 species
AUUUUCUCACCGAACGUUUAUAUAGAGCUGUAUACUAUUUAUCUUGUAUAUAUUUAUGUACAUAUAUAUGUAUACAUGUUCAUAUAUGUUUGCAGAUUGUUUUUAACAAAUUGUGUUAUUAAAAAUGCAAAUGCAAAAUAAGAUUUUCAUUUUUUUUUUGUAUUUUUUAUGCUGCUUUUUUCUUUUAAAUAUAAAAUCCGUAUACUCUCAUAUAGAAAACAACAAUUUUAAUAACAAUAAUAAUGUCGUUAAACCAGGUAAUAUUAGUAAUGCGAGGGAGAAGGCUGAUAGGAAUAGCAAAAAGAAUGAUAAGGAAUCUGGUAAGAAUGAACAGAAAAUAAACGCCGAAACAGAUUUAACAUUAUUAGAUAAAAAUGGAAAUGUAUCUAAAAUAUCAAACGAAAAUACUGAUGAAGGUUUGUCGAUCUCAGAAAAUGAUUUAAUGCAAACUGAAAAUAAUGUAACUGACAAAACUGAUAAAACAGAUACACAUGUUGAACAAAAUGAAAAGAUAGAAUCUGAUGAAGUUAAUAAAAAGCAAAUGUCAGAACAUAAAGAAAAACAACAAGAAGUCAAUUUGGAUGAUAAAAAAGAAGAACUUGAGGAAUCAAGCGUUGACACAAGCGAAGAAACAAAAAAUAAUACAAUAGAAGAUAAUACAAUAGAAGAUUCAAGUGUAGAUGAAAAUGCAGACCAAAGUAUAGACCAAAGUAUAGACCAAAGUAUAGACCAAAGUAUAGACCAAAGUAUAGAACAAAGUAUAGACCAAAGUAUAGAACAAAGUAUAGACCAAAGUAUAGACCAAAGUUUAGAACAAAGUAUAGACCAAAGUUUAGACCAAAUUUUAGACCCAAGAGAAAGUCUCAAUAAUAUUCAACUGAGCAAGCAAGUGCUAAAACACUUAAAUAAGAACAUCUUUUUCAAUGAUGACUUUUUGAAAGAAAUUUUACCUGACUAUACGAACAUAAACAAAACAUUAAAAGAACUAGUUACGGUGCUAGAAAAAGAGAGAAUUGAUUUAAAAAAUGUAAAUUACUUUAAAAAAGAAAUACAAAACAAUUUUGCAUAUCGAAAUGGUCUUUAUUUUAGUGAAACAAGUGUAAAAGAAUAUAAUAAAAACGUUAAUU